AAAUUGAAGAGUUUGAUCAUGGCUCAGAUUGAACGCUGGCGGCAGGCCUAACACAUGCAAGUCGAGCGGUAGCACAGAGAGCUUGCUCGGGUGACGAGCGGCGGACGGGUGAGUAAUGUCUGGGA
rnacentral:rRNA from 1 species